GACGAACGCUGGCGGCGUGCUUAACACAUGCAAGUCGAACGGUAAGGCCCUUCGGGGUACACGAGUGGCGAACGGGUGAGUAACACGUGGGUGAUCUGCCCUGCACUUCGGGAUAAGCCGGGGAAACUGGGUCUAAUACCGGAUAGGACCACUGCCUGCAUGGGUGGUGGGCGUAAGCUUUUGCGGUGUGGGAUGGGCCCGCGGCCUAUCAGCUUGUUGGUGGGGUGAGGGCCUACCAAGGCGACGACGGGUAGCCGCCCCGAGAGGGUGAUCGGGAACACGUGGACUCAGAUACGGGCCAGACUCCUAAGGGAGGCAGCAGUGGGGGAGAUUGCACAAUGGGGGCAAGCCUGAUGCAGCGACGCCGCGUGAGGGAUGGCGGCCUUCGGGUUGUAAACCUCUUUCAGCACCGACGAAGCGCAAGUGACGGUAGGUGCAGAAGAAGGACCGGCCAACUACGUGCCAGCCGCCGCGGUAA
rnacentral:rRNA from 1 species